AGAGUUUGAUCCUGGCUCAGGACGAACGCUGGCGGUGUGCUUCACACAUGCAAGUCGAACGAGGUAGCAAUACCUAGUGGCGGACGGGUGAGUAACGCGUAGGAAUCUACCUUCAGAUGGGGGAUAACUGGCCGAAAGGCUAGCUAAUACCGCAUACGUGUAUAUCUCGACAGGGAUAUAUAUAAAAGGAGUAAUUCGUC
rnacentral:rRNA from 1 species